CGUCGAGAAAAGGAUCCGGUGGAAGCCACGUACUUGGUGUAGCACCCUGGAGCCCAAACAACAUCGACUCGAGAUCUACCCAGAAAAACACUGACUAUUGUCUUUAUCGCUCCUUGUCGACCUGUAUACUCUCCGUCCGUCCAGGCCCCGAAAUGUUCACACGCAUCCCAUGCAUUCUGCUACAGCUGGAGUGCAGAAGUGGUGGUAGUCUUGAAUAGCCUU
rnacentral:lncRNA from 1 species